CUAUUUGCGUUGAAACCCCGGAUCUCGUGUGAUCACCGAAGUUAAGCAACAUUGUGUCUGAGCAGUACUUAAAUGGGUGACCGCAGGAGAAUAUCAGAUGCUGUAAG